rnacentral:tRNA from 1 species
CGCUAAGAAGCUAAACAGGGAACAGCAUUAGCCUUUUAAGCUAAAGAGAGGUGGCCCCCAAUCACCCUUAGCGA